UGCGUAGGCGGGCUAGUAAGUCAGUGGUGAAAUCCCUCAGCUUAACUGAGGAACUGCCAUUGAUACUGUUAGUCUUGAGUAUAGUUGAGGUGGGCGGAAUGUGUCAUGUAGCGGUGAAAUGCAUAGAUAUGACACAGAACACCGAUUGCGUAGGCAGCUCACUAAACUAUCACUGACGCUGAUGCACGAAAGCGUGGGUAGCGAACAGGAUUAGAUACCCUGGUAGUCC
rnacentral:rRNA from 1 species